AGCGAACGCUGGCGGCGGGCCUAACACAUGCAAGUCGAACGAAGUCUUCGGACUUAGUGGCGGACGGGUGAGUAACACGUGGGAACGUACCUUUUGGUUCGGAACAACUCAGGGAAACUUGAGCUAAUACCGGAUGAGCCCUUAGGGGGAAAGAUUUAUCGCCGAAAGAGCGGCCCGCGUUAGAUUAGCUAGUUGGUGAGGUAAAGGCUCACCAAGGCUACGAUCUAUAGCUGGUCUGAGAGGAUGAUCAGCCACACUGGGACUGAGACACGGCCCAGAGUCCUACGGGAGGCAGAAGUGGGGAAUCUUGCGCAAUGGGCGAAAGCCUGACGCAGCCAUGCCGCGUGAAUGAUGAAGGUCUUAGGAUUGUAAAAUUCUUUUACCAGGGACGAUAAUGACGGUACCUGGAGAAAAAGCCCCGGCUAACUUCGUGCCAGCCGCCGCAGUAAAAC
rnacentral:rRNA from 1 species